rnacentral:rRNA from 1 species
AGUCGAGGGGUAUAGGUUUUCGGACCUAGAGACCGGCGCACGGGUGCGUAACGCGUAUGCAAUCUACCUUUCACAGAGGGAUAGCCCAGAGAAAUUUGGAUUAAUACCUCAUAGCAUUAUGAAAUGGCAUCAUUUUAUAAUUAAAGUCACAACGGUGAAAGAUGAGCAUGCGUCCCAUUAGCUAGUUGGUAUAGUAACGGCAUACCAAGGCUACGAUGGGUAGGGGUCCUGAGAGGGAGAUCCCCCACACUGGUACUGAGACACGGACCAGACUCCUACGGGAGGCAGCAGUGAGGAAUAUUGGUCAAUGGGCGCAAGCCUGAACCAGCCAUGCCGCGUGCAGGAUGACGGUCCUAUGGAUUGUAAACUGCUUUUGUACAGGAAGAAACACUCCUACGUGUAGGAACUUGACGGUACUGUAAGAAUAAGGAUCGGCUAACUCCGUGCCAGCAGCCGCGGUAAU